CAAAAACUAAGACAAUUGGACGAAAUUGGUGGCUUCGGUGUCCUCGGUGCCCCAAGAAUGAUAUUGGAGGCACACCCCAUUUCCGGCAGACCGGAGUCUAUUCCUGGUGGAUUAGGAUCGGCUCAUCUCACCGCCCAAAGUUACUCACACAACCAUCUCGGUAGCUUCUUUACAUUUAAUUUUGGCAACACUUAAGGCUGAACUCAGACCGUCGCCUAAAUAAGAAGUGGUCAAACCGAUAAUGGAAGGUACAUUUUUAAACGCUUAAAAUUACAAGUGUUUGGGCAAAAACGCCACGGAUGUGAAUUACAUGACACCAAAUUGGAGGCGUUUGCCAACCGGGUCACCUAAUCCUGAGGAGCUCCAAAGGAAAAGAAAGGACGUGCUAAAAGGAUAAGUACGCUAAAUAAAUCCCUUAAUUCAUUAAAUUUCGCAACCCAAUUUUAACGUAGUUUGACGCGCGGCUGGGGUGCGGAAUAAAUGCCUCUACUUCCAGAUUAGAUUUCACAAGUUCAACGUCGGUCAUUGUCGAAGCUGUGCUGCUGGUGGACGACGUGGUCUUCACGACCAGGUUAGGUCCACCUGGUAAGGAUUUCCUUCCCGAAUCUUUUAAAUUUCCGGGGCCCUUUAGAUAGGGUCCCCGGCGGCUUCAAUAUUUAAAAAAAAAAACACUGACAUUUACAAGUUUAGGACUAAUAAAUAACUACUCACUUUGAGUUAUCUAAACACUUA